rnacentral:rRNA from 1 species
UACGUAGGGGGCAAGCGUUGUUCGGAAUUACUGGGCGUAAAGGGCUCGUAGGCGGCCAACUAAGUCAGACGUGAAAUCCCUCGGCUUAACCGGGGAACUGCGUCUGAUACUGGAUGGCUUGAGUUUGGGAGAGGGACGCGGAAUUCCAGGUGUAGCGGUGAAAUGCGUAGAUAUCUGGAGGAACACCGGUGGCGAAGGCGGCGUCCUGGACCAACACUGACACUGAUGAGCGAAAGCCAGGGGAGCAAACGGG